GACGAACGCUGGCGGCGUGCUUAACACAUGCAAGUCGAACGGAAAGACCCUGCUUUUGUGGGGUGCUCGAUUGGCGAACGGGUGAGUAAAACGUGAGUAAACUGCCCUUGACUUUGGGAUAACUUCAGGAAACUGGGGCUAAUACAGGAUAGAAGCUCCUGCUGCAUGGUGGGGGUUGGAGAGUUUCGGCGGUUGGGGAUGGACUCGCGGGUUAUCCGCUUGCUGGUGGGGUAGUGGCUUAACAAGGCUUUGACGGGUAGCCGGCCUGGGAGGUUGACCGGCCACAAUGGGACUGAGAUACGGCCCAGACGGCUACCGUAGGCAGCAGGCGGGAAUAUUGCACAAUGAGCGGAAGCCUGAGGCAGCAACGCCGCGUGCGGGAUGACGGCCUUCUGGUUGUAAACCGCUUUCGCCUGUGACGAAGCGUUAGUGACGGUAAUUGAUAAAGAAGCACCGGCUAACUACGUG
rnacentral:rRNA from 1 species